CAGUCGCCGCGGGAAUACGUAGGUGGCAAGCGUUGUCCGGAAUUAUUGGGCGUAAAGCGCGCGCAGGCGGAUCAGUCAGUCUGUCUUAAAAGUUCGGGGCUUAACCCCGUGAGGGGAUGGAAACUGCUGAUCUAGAGUAUCGGAGAGGAAAGUGGAAUUCCUAGUGUAGCGGUGGAAUGCGUAGAUAUUAGGAAGAACACCAGUGGCGAAGGCGACUUUCUGGACGAAAACUGACGCUGAGGCGCGAAAGCCAGGGGAGCGAACGGGAUUAGAGACCCCCGUAGUCCCUGUCUCUUAUACA
rnacentral:rRNA from 1 species